rnacentral:lncRNA from 1 species
GUCGCACAUACAUGACAUAUAUAUAAAUAUAUUGGAAAACAUUCCCAAUAAAUAUUUUGUAUGGAAAUGGACAUUUUUUAAUUCAUUUUAUACGACUGGCUUUGGAUUUUAGAUAUAAAUCGCAAAACAUUAAAAUGAAACGUGUACAUGCUGGUGUACUAUUGAUACAUGCAUGUUUUCAAGGAUUUGUUAUCUACGAUAGUAGAGGGGCAUUAUGUUUUCUGGUAUGUGCGUCCGUUCGUUCGUAUUUCUGUCUGUCCGUUCGUUCGUUCGUCCGUCCGUUCGUUCGUCCGUCUGUCCCGCUUCAGGUUAAAGUUUUUGGUCAAGGUAGUUUUUGAUGAUGUUGAAGUCCAAUCAACUUGAAACUUAGUACACAUGUUCCCUAUGGUAUGAUCUUUCUAAUUUUAAUGCCACAUUAGACUUUUUACCCAAUUUCACGGUCCAUUGAACAUGGAAAAGUAUAGUGCGAGUGGGGCAUCCGUGUACUUUGGACACAUUCUUGUUGUAAUUAUUUUUGUUUUAUAUCUCUUAUGAAAUGAAAGAGAUGUGAGUUAAACAGCAACAAUAUUGUGAUUUUUUUUCUUUACUUUUUUUCUUGUGACUUUUUUUCCUAGUAAUUUUGUGACUUUUUUUCCCGUGACUUUUUUUCCUGUGACUUUUUUUCCGUUU